CCUACGGGUGGCAGCAGUGAGGAAUAUUGGUCAAUGGGCGCUAGCCUGAACCAGCCAAGUAGCGUGAAGGAUGACUGCCCUACGGGUUGUAAACUUCUUUUAUAAAGGAAUAAAGUGCAGCACGUGUGCUUUUUUGCAUGUACUUUAUGAAUAAGGAUCGGCUAACUCCGUGCCAGCAGCCGCGGUAAUACGGAGGAUCCUAGCGUUAUCCGGAUUUAUUGGGUUUAAAGGGAGCGUAGGUGGUUUGUUAAGUCAGUUGUGAAAGUUUGCGGCUCAACCGUAAAAUUGCAGUUGAAACUGGCAGGCUUGAGUACAGUAGAGGUGGGCGGAAUUCGUGGUGUAGCGGUGAAAUGCUUAGAUAUCACGAAGAACUCCGAUUGCGAAGGCAG
rnacentral:rRNA from 1 species